rnacentral:rRNA from 1 species
GACGAACGCUGGCGGCGUGCUUAACACAUGCAAGUCGAACGGAAAGGCCCUGCUUUUGUGGGGUGCUCGAGUGGCGAACGGGUGAGUAACACGUGAGUAACCUGCCCUUGACUUUGGGAUAACUUCAGGAAACUGGGGCUAAUACCGGAUCGGAGCUCCUGCUGCAUGGUGGGGGUUGGAAAGUUUCGGCGGUUGGGGAUGGACUCGCGGCUUAUCAGCUUGUUGGUGGGGUAGUGGCUUACCAAGGCUUUGACGGGUAGCCGGCCUGAGAGGGUGACCGGCCACAUUGGGACUGAGAUACGGCCCAGACUCCUACGGGAGGCAGCAGUGGGGAAUAUUGCACAAUGGGCGGAAGCCUGAUGCAGCAACGCCGCGUGCGGGAUGACGGCCUUCGGGUUGUAAACCGCUUUCGCCUGUGACGAAGCGUGAGUGACGGUAAUGGGUAAAGAAGCACCGGCUAACUACGUG